CGCGGGAUUAGAGUUUGAUCCUGGCUCAGGAUAAACGCUGGCGGCGUGCCUAACACAUGCAAGUCGAACGUCUCUUCUUCCGGGAAGAGGAGUGGCGGACGGGUGAGGAACACGUGGGAACCUGCCCUUCAGUGAGGAAUACCGGCGAGAAAUCGCCGACAAGACCGCAUAGCCCUCUCUGGUGAGAGCCAGAGAAGGAAAGCCUCGCAAGAGGCGCUGGAGGAGGGGCCUGCGUCCGAUUAGCUAGUUGGUGGGGUAAGAGCCUACCAAGGCGUCGAUCGGUAGCUGGUCUGAGAGGACGAUCAGCCACACUGGGAUUGAGAACGGCCCAGACUCCUACGGGGGGCAGCAGUGAGGAAUUUUCGGCAAUGGGGGAAACCCUGACCGAGCAACGCCGCGUGCAGGAAGACGGCCUUCGGGUUGUAAACUGCUUUUCUUUGGGACGAGCAAGGACGGUACCAGAGGAAUCAGCCCCGGCUCACUACGUGCCAGCAGCCGCGGUAAUACGUAGGGGGCGAGCGUUGUCCGGAGUGACUGGGCGUAAAGGGCCCGCAGGCGGUCGAGCGCGUUUUGAGUGACAGCUCCCGGCUUCACUGGGAGAGGGUUCAGAAGACGGUUCGACUUGAGGGCCAGAGAGGGACACGGAAUUCCGGGUGUAGUGGUGAAAUGCGUAGAUAUCCGGAGGAACACCAAAGGCGAAGGCAGUGUCCUGGCUGGUACCUGACGCUGAGGGGCGAAAGCUAGGGGAGCGAACGGGAUUAGAUACCCCGGUAGUCCUANGCCGUAACGAUGACCACUAGGUGUGCGAGGUAUCGACCCCUUGCGUGCCGUCGCAAACGCAAUAAGUGGUCCGCCUGGGGAGUACGGUCGCAAGAUUAAA
rnacentral:rRNA from 1 species